AUUGAACGCUGGCGGCAGGCCUAACACAUGCAAGUCGAGCGAGCGGCGGAUGGGUGAGUAAUGUCUGGGAAACUGCCUGAUGGGGGUGGCUAACUACAGGAGACGGUAAUGAAUACCGCAUACCAUUAGACGUGCCUAGUUGGGACUAGAUAGUAGGUGGGGUAACGGCCAAGCGAGGCGACGAUCCCUAGCUGGUGUGAGAGGAUGACCAGCCACACUGGAACUGAGACACGGUCCAGACGCCGACGGGAGGCAGCAGUGGGGAAUAUUGCACAAUGGGCGAAAGGCUGAUGCAGCCAUGCCGCGUGUGUGAAGAAGGCCGUCGGGUUGUAAAGCACUUUCAGCGGGGAGGCGUUACCCGCAGAAGAAGCACCGGCUAACACCGUGCCAGCAGCCGCGGUAAUUC
rnacentral:rRNA from 1 species